rnacentral:rRNA from 1 species
GAUGAACGCUGGCGGCGCGCCUAACACAUGCAAGUCGAACGAUUAAAGCACCUUCGGGUGUGUAUAAAGUGGCGAACGGCUGAGUAACACGUGGGCAACCUGCCCCUUUCAUUGGGAUAGCCACGGGAAACCGUGGAUAAUACCGAAUACUUCGAGACUUCCGCAUGGAAGACUCGAGAAAGCUCCGGCGGAGAGGGAUGGGCCCGCGGCCUGUUAGCUUGUUGGUGGGGUAACGGCCUACCAAGGCAAUGAUGGGUAGCUGGGUUGAGAGACCGACCAGCCAGAUUGGGACUGAGACACGGCCCAGACUCCUACGGGAGGCAGCAGUGGGGAAUCUUGCAUAAUGGGCGAAAGCCUGAUGCAGCGACGCCGCGUGCGGGAUGAAGGCCUUCGGGUUGUAAACCGCUUUCAGCAGGGACGAGGCGAAAGUGACGGUACCUGCAGAAGAAGCCCCGGCUAACUACGUG